AUGUGGAACGGGUUUUUUAAAAAAAUCUCUUUGAGAGCAAGCAGUACUUCCCUUUUCCGUUGCCGUAAAACAGCUUCCCUUGCCCUUUUUCCUGUCCACCAUGUGAGAGGAAGAAACUUGCAGAAAACUGCCUACUGCUGCUGCUUGGAUUAAGUGUUUUGUCAGUAACCAGAAGGUAACUGUUGCUGAAGGAGAAGGAUAACACAAAAUGGCAGAAGCAGUUUUCCAUCCCCCAAAGAGGAAAAGAAAAGCCUACAGAUCAUAUGAUUCCCCAUUUCCUAUUUCUUCUUUCGGGGAAGACGGUUAUGGGAGAGGUUACAAAAUAUGUGAGGCUGAAAUUAUUAACAACAAUGUAAUUGUUAAUAAACCUGAUGAUAUAGAACAACUGUAUAGCAAGGGAUUUUUUGGGAAAGGAAUUAUUUCCAGAAGUCAGCCAGAAUACAGUAUUUCAGAUCCUGUAUUAGUUGCUAAGUGGCAAGAUGUCCGAUUAAACAUGCCUAUUGUUUCAUCAAAAAAGUACAAUUGUCAUGUAGAAUGGGCUAAAAGCCUUCUGCAAGACCAGGGACUUGAUGACGGCACAGUUGAGGCAACCAUUCUGAAAUACACAACUCCACUUAAUCUGAAAGAAGCAGCCAAACAAAAUAGUGAGUCUUGGGAUGAAAGAACCCCAGCCAUCGAGACAGCUGAAGAUGAACCCAAGGUUUUCACUAUUUCUGCUGACACAAACGGGACUAAAGCAGCCAGCCUAGAUGUCAAUCCCCUUCAUGACCCAUUAGCCAGGAGUGCUUCUAGUGAACUGGAUUCAACAGGCUUUCAAGCUGUAGCUAAAACUCACUCCACAAAACCAUGUCUGUUCAGUUUGCAUUACAGCUGCAAGCAAGAGGACUGUAUGAAACAAGAGUCUCAUAUUUUAAUGAAUAAAGAAAAUAGUCAUGAGUAUGUGUUGGUGGAAGAAGAAUCAAAUGUAUGUCUGGAAGAAGAAACAAGUGAGAAAUUGCAUUUGAUCAAAGAUGAAAAGUUGGUAUGCAAAAGAAAUCCAUUCACAAUUUUUGAAUAUUUGCAGCUCAGUCUAGAGGAGGCCUUUUUCUUGGUCUAUGCUCUGGGAUGCUUAAGUAUUUGUUACAAUGAGGCACCUUUAUCUAUUCUGAAGCUAUGGGAAGUGUUUAAUGAAGCACAACCCAAUUUUAGGAGUACAUACAUGGCAUAUCACUACUUCCGUUGUAAAGGAUGGGUCCCUAAAGUUGGAUUGAAAUAUGGGACUGAUCUCUUGUUGUAUCGAAAGGGACCUCCUUUUUACCAUGCCAGUUAUUCGGUCAUUGUUGAAUUAGUUGAUGAUGAUAAUUUUGAAGGGUCAUCCCGCAGACCUUUCAGCUGGAAGACGUUGUCUGGCUUGAACAGAACUACAGCAAAUGUUUCCAAGUAACUAGAGAAAACUAAUAGUAGUAGAAUACCAGGUGAAGAAGAGAUUGGAAAUAGUCAAAAAUAAUAGGAAUAUAAGCAGAAGAGAAGAAGGGGCCUAGUAAACAAGGCCAGAGCCAGCGAGCUGUAAUGCGAGCCUUCUGGAGCAAAGGCAGGAAGUAGAACUGUAUAUGUCUGACUUUGAUGAUCUUUGCCUCUCAUAGUGAUAUGGAGGGGUUAAGAGAAGAAAAGUACUUGCAGAGCAAAGUUUGUCCUUGAUCUCAAAACAGAAAGUAAAAGCCUGUGCUUUUCUCAAAUGUAAACAAUUCUGUAGCGUGGGUUCUGUAUCUAAUCACUGGUAGUUAAAAUUUUUCUCACGGUGGUGUGGAACAACUAUCGUUUCCAUUGGUUGAGAAGAAUGAUAGACAGAGUCCAUAGCAAAUAGGAAACAGCAAGACGUCUCUUAAGCUUAGUGUAACACUUGGAUUGGAGGAGUCCCACACAUCAGUAGCUUGUCCCAUUUUCAGAUGGAUGCUUCUGGGUGCACUGAAGCUCUUCUUCCCCAAGCUAGGGCUGCUUCAAGUAUCUGAAGAGGGAACUCUCCUAUAGUCCGGACCAUCUGUGCCUUGGUUUGCUGUGCCGUGGCCAGUGAGUCAAACUUCAUGUUUCAAGGACAAAGGAGAAAAGGUCCAAUUCCAUGCUUCAAGUAAUCAAAAUGUAUUAGACCACAUGUGUAGCAAAUUUCAGCUUUCUAACUCCUAUGGAAGUACUUGAAACAUUUAAGGGACAUGUAUUUAAGCAUUUUCACACUUUUCUAAUAAUUGAGAUAAUGACAUCCACAUGUAUUGAUUGUCAUGUUCUAGCUGGUGAAGAAAGACAGUAAAUGUUUUUAUUUGCUGUAAAAUGAGGAAGAAAAAUAAUUUAUAUAGCACUUUUCAAACAUUUUGUUUUUCCUGUUGGUAAUAAAACAGCAUCCUUUUUUUGAGAUAGACACUUAUAAUUUCCAUUUUACACACUAGAAGGAUGUUUGUCUACAACAUGUGGCUGUAUCUUAAGAAUUGCCGGUGAAGGUGCUGCUGUAGACCAGGACCGCUAAUUUUAUACUCAUAAAUACACACACCUACCUAACUUCUCACUUGUUUCUUGUGGUCUUGGAGAAGACCCUCUGGAGUUACAAAGAGGAACAAUUUCAGUGUGCACAAGACUGUUGGGCCAAAUACAGAGAAGUGUAAGCAGAGCUUUAUUUGUACAGUGGGGGGUUCCUCCUCUCCAUUGCAACCCCCUGUUCCAAAACCAUGCUCCUUGAGAAACUUCAGAUAGCAUGGGAUGGGGUGUAGGAUGAGGAAAUUAUGGGAGCCACCUUAUACAAAUGGAAAUACCUUUCUGUUUGUGCAACACACCUUUGAAUCCAACCGAUAAGAAUCCUGGCAUUAGUUAGGAUCAAGCUGUGUGAGAGAGAGUGACGGCAUCCAGUGGGUCUGUGGUUGGAUAGAGAUUUGGACUUGAGUCUGCUUAAUCCAAGCUGAACACUACAGCAUAUUCAUUGACCCACACCAGCCCUCUCUGCCUCAUUACCAUUAUUCAGGUGAAGAGUAAAUGUAUACCCCUUAAUUUGGUGGUAUUACUAUUUUAUCCAAACUUUUACUUUCAACCAAAUGCAGGUUUCAGGAAUAUGCUUUGGUAUAGUUAAAUGGUUUUAAUUGUUCUGUUUUGUGUAUAACUGAUUUGCCAACAGGAGCUUAUGUUCUGCUAUUUAAUUAAACCGUCUAAUAUGACUACAAAAGAAAUGUCAUCACCAGAAUGUCUAAAAAGAAUUAAAGUUCAGGAAUUAAUUCUAAAUCGUUGGGUCUCAUCUCGUGAGCGCAGUGAACAAGAGGAAUUAU